rnacentral:rRNA from 1 species
CCUAGGGGGCUGCAGUGGGGAAUAUUGGACAAUGGGCGAAAGCCUGAUCCAGCCAUGCCGCGUGUGUGAAGAAGGCCUUCGGGUUGUAAAGCACUUUCAGUGGGGAAGAAAGCCUUGGGGCUAAUACCCUCGAGGAAGGACAUCACCCACAGAAGAAGCACCGGCUAACUCCGUGCCAGCAGCCGCGGUAAUACGGAGGGUGCGAGCGUUAAUCGGAAUUACUGGGCGUAAAGCGCGCGUAGGCGGUCUGAUAAGCCGGUUGUGAAAGCCCCGGGCUCAACCUGGGAACGGCAUCCGGAACUGUCAGGCUAGAGUGCAGGAGAGGAAGGUAGAAUUCCCGGUGUAGCGGUGAAAUGCGUAGAGAUCGGGAGGAAUACCAGUGGCGAAGGCGGCCUUCUGGACUGACACUGACGCUGAGGUGCGAAAGCGUGGGUAGCAAACAGGAUUAGAUACCCUGGUAGUC